UGUCCGGAAUUAUUGGGCGUAAAGAGCUCGUAGGUCGUUUGUUACGUCGGAUGUGAAAACCUGAGGCUCAACCUCAGGCCUGCAUUCGAUACGGGCAAACUAGAGUUUGGUAGGGGAGACUGGAAUUCCUGGUGUAGCGGUGGAAUGCGCAGAUAUCAGGAGGAACACCAAUGGCGAAGGCAGGUCUCUGGGCCAAUACUGACACUGAGGAGCGAAAGUCUGGGGAGCGAACAGGAUUAGAUACCCUGGUAGUCCAGACCGUAAACGGUGGGCACUAGUUGUGGGAACCUUCCACGGUUUCUGCGACGCAGCUAACGCAUUAAGUGCCCCGCCUGGGGAGUACGAUCGCAAGAUUAAAACUCAAAGGAAUUGACGGGGCCCCGCACAAGCAGCGGAGCAUGCGGCUUAAUUCGACGCAACGCGAAGAACCUUACCAGGGUUUGACAUCCUGCGAAUCUCUUGGAAACGAGAGAGUGCCUUCGGGAACGCAGUGACAGGUGGUGCAUGGCUGUCGUCAGCUCGUGUCGUGAGAUGUUGGGUUAAGUCCCGCAACGAGCGCAACCCACGUCGUUAGUUGCCAGCAUUUAGUUGGGCACUCUAGCGAGACCGCCGGUGAUAAACCGGAGGAAGGUGUGGAUGACGUCAAGUCAUCAUGCCCCUUACAUCCUGGGCUACACACGUACUACAAUGCUACGGACAAAGGGCAGCAAACUCGCGAGAGCUAGCAAAUCCCAUAAACCGUGGCUCAGUUCGGAUCGUAGGCUGCAACUCGCCUACGUGAAGGAGGAAUCGCUAGUAAUCGCAGGUCAGCAUACUGCGGUGAAUACGUUCCCGGGCCUUGUACGCACCGCCCGUCACACCAUGGAAGUUGGCCACGCCCGAAGCCGUUACUCCAACCCUUGUGGAGGAGGAUGUCGAAGGUGGGGCUGAUGACUGGGGUGAAGUCGUAACAAGGUAGCC
rnacentral:rRNA from 1 species